UUUCCGUAGGUGAACCUGCGGAAGGAUCAUUAUUGGAUUUUGAAACUUCAGGCUGCUGCUGGCUCUCCUCGGAGGGCAUGUGCACGCUUGUUGUCCAUUAUUUCUCCCACUGUGCACAAAUUGUAGACCUUUCAGUAGGCCUAUGUUGUUUUUCACAAUCUCUGGAUGUAAUAGAAUGGUUUUGAAUCUUGGGAAAUACAAUACAACUUUCAGCAACGGAUCUCUUGGCUCUC
rnacentral:misc_RNA from 1 species